rnacentral:rRNA from 1 species
CCCUUAGAUGUCCUGGGCCGCACGCGCGUUACACUGAUGCAUUCAACGAGCCUAUAACCUUGGCCGAGAGGCCUGGGCAAUCUUGUUAACGUGCAUCGUGAUAGGGAUAGAUUAUUGAAAUUAUUAAUCUUGAACGAGGAAUUCCUAGUAAACGCAGACCAUCAAUCUGCAUUGAUUACGUCCCUGCCCUUUGUACACACCGCCCGUCGCACCUACCGAUUGGAUGGUCCGGUGAAGCCUCGGGAUUGUGGUUCUUGCCGCUUUAUUGUGGCGUGACCGCGAGAACUUGUCUAAACCUGAUCAUCUAGAGGAAGGUGAAGUCGUAACA